rnacentral:tRNA from 1 species
GGUGUUAUACUUUAAAUUAAAAGAUUUGAUUUGCAUUCAGACAAUGAGGAGUAUAAAGUCUUCUAAUGCCA